UUAUUUAUUUUAUUAUAUUUAUUUUUUGUUUAUUUAAUUAUUUAAUAGAAAUAAUUUUAUUGAAUUUUGUCUUAGUAUAUUUUGUAGAAUUGAUUUUUUAAAUUAUAGUUUAUUGGUAAUGUAAUUGUUUUAUGAAAUAUUAUUUUAAAUUUUUAAAAGUAUAUUUUAUUUAUUGUACCCUUUGUAUCAGGGUUUAUCAAAAUUUUAGUAUUUAAUUUACUUGUCUCGAUUUGGGUUGAUUUAUAAAUAAUUUACAGUUAAUGUAUCAUAAUUAUUAUUAAAUUAUUUAUKGAAAUGAAAUGUUAAUCGUUUCCCAAGAUAUCUAGUUUCUUAAGAAAAAUUUUAAUUUUUU
rnacentral:rRNA from 1 species